rnacentral:rRNA from 1 species
CACGUAGGGGCCAAGCGUUGUCCGGAUUUAUUGGGCGUAAAGAGCUCGUAGGCGGUUGGGUAAGUCGGGUGUGAAAACUCCGGGCUCAACUCGGAGACGCCACCCGAUACUGCUCUGACCUGAGUCCGGUAGGGGAGUGGGGAAUUCCUGGUGUAGCGGUGAAAUGCGCAGAUAUCAGGAGGAACACCGGUGGCGAAGGCGCCACUCUGGGCCGGAACUGACGCUGAGGCGCGAAAGCGUGGGGAGCAAACAGG